rnacentral:rRNA from 1 species
GUAGGGAAUCUUGCGCAAUGGGCGAAAGCCUGACGCAGCCAUGUCGCGUGAAUGAUGAAGGUCUUAGGAUUGUAAAAUUCUUUCACCGGGGACGAUAAUGACGGUACCCGGAGAAGAAGCCCCGGCUAACUUCGUGCCAGCAGCCGCGGUAAUACGAAGGGGGCUAGCGUUGCUCGGAAUUACUGGGCGUAAAGGGAGCGUAGGCGGAUAGUUUAGUCAGAGGUGAAAGCCCAGGGCUCAUCCUUGGAAUUGCCUUUGAUGCUGGCUAUCUUGAGUAUGGAAGAGGUAUGUGGAACGCGAAGUGUAGAGGUGAAAUGCGUAGAUAUUAGGAAGAACACCAGUGGCGAAGGCGACAUACUGGUCCAAUACUGACGCUGAGGCUCGAAAGCGUGGGGAGCAAACAGGAUUAGAAACCCGAGUAGUCC